ensembl:lncRNA
UCUAGACUUACCAGGUUUCAACAACAUCUAGUUCAAAAUGGCACUGUCCCCUCUGAAACAAGCUGAUAUUUACAGCUCUAGAGCGCGUAAUGGAUAUGUGCAGUCCAGGUUGGUGCCUGAAACUCAUCCCUGCUCUGCCUCUGGUGAGCAACAGUAGAAAAAGUCUACAACCCUUCUUUUCUACACCAUCUACAGAGCUGAAAGAGGAACAGACUCAGCAUAUCAAUCAAUCCUUGCUCUACCGUCAUGUAUCUUCUACGGAUCCUUGACAUCUCAUCUUUAAUUUUCAUUGUUUGUAGCAGUUAAUAUGUUGUUUUAACUUUAUUGCCUCCAAGAUAUUCAAUCCCAGAGUUUGCUGACUUCCAAUCUGCAAGUUUGAAGUAAUGUUGAGUCUAAAUUUUUGACCAUUUGAAUGGCUUUUAUUUUAUAACUUUGGAGGGUGUACAUGUCCUAUGUUUUCAACGCACAUUUUGCUGCCAUAAACACAUUGAGGAAAAUAUACAUCUCCUGUUAUCUUCAUUUUCAGUUGCAUUUCCAAAAUACUGGUAUUUUUCAUUUUAUUUAAGUCAUGAUUAAAUAUAGAAAACAAAGGAUACUUAGCAUAUUAUUUUUAUUAAUGUAAUAUUUCAC